UAAGUAAAUUAGAUGGCCGCCCGUAAAUUUUAUGGGAGGAAAGUCCGAACACCGUAACAAAGGCUGUUGCUAACGGCAACCAGAAGUAAUUCUAGGGAAAGUGCCACAGAGACUAUACUAGUCCCGCAUUGCGGGACAAAAGGUGAAAAGUGGAGCCCAAGGCUUCUCCCUGCUGUGUGAGCAGUAGUGUCCUAACGGACAGCGUUCUGAAAACUUUGACAGAAUGCGGUGGUAAACCCAGCCUGGUGCAAUGCCAAAUUUGGUAGGCAGCUUGAGCGUAUUGGCAACAAUGCGCCUAGAUAGAUGGCCAUCGCACCGAGUCAAACUCGGUUAGCACAAAAUUCGGCUUACGAUUUGCUUAGACA
rnacentral:RNase_P_RNA from 1 species